UACAGAGGGUGCAAGCGUUGUUCGGAAUUACUGGGCGUAAAGCGCGUGUAGGCGGCGGCGUAAGACGGGUGUGAAAUCCCUCAGCUCAACUGAGGAAGUGCACUCGAUACUGUGUCGCUUGAAUGUCGGAGGGGAUGGCGGAAUUCCCGGUGUAGAGGUGAAAUUCGUAGAUAUCGGGAGGAACACCUGUGGCGAAGGCGGCCAUCUGGACGACAAUUGACGCUGAGACGCGAAAGCGUGGGUAGCAAACAGG
rnacentral:rRNA from 1 species